CCACAUCAGGUAGACCGAUGGAACGAGGUGAAGAGAAGGCUUGGAUCUGUUUUACAUACUAAUUCCAACGAACUUGUGCAUUUACUCUGUAC